rnacentral:lncRNA from 1 species
CCAGUCGCAAUAGAUAUUGUUCAUCCUAUUCUCCUAUGCGAUAUAUUUGUAAGUCACUCAAAGGCUCCACUUGUUCAUAAGCUUCCAAAAAACACGAUUAAUGACUAAUAUAUCACCAACUCUGUUAUAUGUUCUUAAGAAAAUAUUGCCUUUUUCCAAAAAAAAAUAAUAGUAUAGAAAAGCUUUAAAAUAUACGAAAUUGACAAUCCAACUUUUGAAUAUGCUCGAAAUAACGAAGUAUAAAAAUGAAGUAGAGCUACCUAUGCAUUCCACUUGAAUGCAUGAACUAAGUACACUCAAGUGGAAGUCGAGUGUGUACGUGUAUCAGUUUAUGGGUAUUAAAGGAAUUAAAGAACCUUUGCUUACGGCAGUAAUAAAGGAAUUAAAGAACCUUUGCUUUUAGUUAGGUCACUUCCUUUCCUCAAUGCUCGAUUUGAUCGUUGACAAAACAAAAUUCUUUUAACACACAAAAAAAUAUUAACCGCUGAGACUG